ensembl:snRNA U6 U6 spliceosomal RNA
GCACUCCCUUUGGCAGCACAUAUACUAAAAUUGGAACAAAACUGAAGAGAUUAGCAUGGCCCCUGUGCAAGGAUGACAUGCAAAUUUGUGAAGCAUUACAUAGUUUU